UACGUAGGGGGCUAGCGUUGUCCGGAUUUAUUGGGCGUAAAGAGCGUGUAGGCGGCCAGGUAGGUCUGGUGUGAAAACUCGAGGCUUAACCUCGAGAUGUCAUCGGAAACCAUUUGGCUAGAGUCCGGAAGAGGAGAGUGGAAUUCCUGGUGUAGCGGUGAAAUGCGCAGAUAUCAGGAAGAACACCAAUGGCGAAGGCAGCUCGCUGGGACGGUACUGACGCUGAGGCGCGAAAGCGUGGGGAGCGAACAGG
rnacentral:rRNA from 1 species